UAUUCUGUUCACGUUGACAGCAACUGUGAGCACUCUGCUUAAUGAUGAAUAGCAAGUGCUUGCUGUUGUUGUGAACGUGAAUCAGUCCC
rnacentral:miRNA from 1 species